rnacentral:misc_RNA from 1 species
AAGUCGUAACAAGGUUUCCGUAGGUGAACCUGCGGAAGGAUCAUCAAAGAUAAUUGGGGGGUCUUUAUUAGACCACAUUCCAUGAUUCCCAACAAAGCGAGUUGUAGGAUUGAGGAUUGACUGAGUUGAGUGGAUGGAGCAAGAAACAAAACUUUCAACAACGGAUCUCUUGGCUCUCA